rnacentral:rRNA from 1 species
AUUUAUUGGAGAGUUUGAUCCUGGCUCAGGACGAACGCUGGCGGCGUGCUUAACACAUGCAAGUCGAACGGAACUAAGCUUAACACCGAAUCUUUUAAAAGUAGAGAUGUU